rnacentral:ribozyme from 1 species
CACACAAAAGGAAGGAAAAAGAUCUAUAGCACACGAAGCUCUUUCUUUCUUUCUUUUUCUUUCCUUUUGUUCGCCGUGUUGUUAGCUCUCUUAUUGUUUUGCCCUUCGCUCUCUCUCAGACGCCUUCUUCCUCCAACGAACCCGCGACAAAGGAAACACAAUCGUAGCGCGGAACAACCUUACUUGAGGCAAUGCACGUACAGAAUACAAAAGAAC